CAUGCAGUCGAGCGGUAAGGCCCUUCGGGGUACACGAGCGGCGAACGGGUGAGUAACACGUGGGUGAUCUGCCUCGCACUCUGGGAUAAGCCUGGGAAACUGGGUCUAAUACCGGAUAUGACCUUACAUCGCAUGGUGUUUGGUGGAAAGAUUUAUCGGUGCGAGAUGGGCCCGCGGCCUAUCAGCUUGUUGGUGGGGUAAUGGCCUACCAAGGCGACGACGGGUAGCCGGCCUGAGAGGGCGACCGGCCACACUGGGACUGAGACACGGCCCAGACUCCUACGGGAGGCAGCAGUGGGGAAUAUUGCACAAUGGGCGAAAGCCUGAUGCAGCGACGCCGCGUGAGGGAUGACGGCCUUCGGGUUGUAAACCUCUUUCGACAGGGACGAAGCGCAAGUGACGGUACCUGUAGAAGAAGCACCGGCCAACUACGUGCCAGCAGCCGCGGUAAUACGUAGGGUGCGAGCGUUGUCCGGAAUUACUGGGCGUAAAGAGCUUGUAGGCGGCUUGUCGCGUCGAUCGUGAAAACUUGGGGCUCAACCCCAAGCUUGCGGUCGAUACGGGCAGGCUUGAGUACUUCAGGGGAGACUGGAAUUCCUGGUGUAGCGGUGAAAUGCGCAGAUAUCAGGAGGAACACCGGUGGCGAAGGCGGGUCUCUGGGAAGUAACUGACGCUGAGAAGCGAAAGCGUGGGUAGCGAACAGGAUUAGAUACCCUGGUAGUCCACGCCGUAAACGGUGGGUACUAGGUGUGGGUUUCCUUCCACGGGAUCCGUGCCGUAGCUAACGCAUUAAGUA
rnacentral:rRNA from 1 species